GAUAAACGCUAGCGGCAAGCUUAACACAUGCAAGUCGAGGGGCAGCAUAGAUUGUAGCAAUACAAUUGGUGGCGACCGGCGCACGGGUGCGUAACGCGUAUGCAACCUACCCGUCACAGGGGGAUAAUCCGGAGAAAUCUGGUCUAAUACCCCAUAACAUAUGGAUCGGCAUCGGUUCAUGUUGAAAUUUUCGGAGGUCACGGAUGGGCAUGCGUAGCAUUAGCUUGUUGGUGAGGUAACGGCUCACCAAGGCGACGAUGCUUAGGGGGACUGAGAGGUUUUCCCCCCACACUGGUACUGAGCCACGGACCAGACUCCUACGGGAGGCAGCAGUGAGGAAUAUUGGUCAAUGGGCGCAAGCCUGAACCAGCCAUGCCGCGUGCAGGAUGACGGCUCUAUGAGUUGUAAACUGCUUUUGUACGAGGGUAAAGUGGGUUACGUGUAACCUUUUGAAAGUAUCGUACGAAUAAGGAUCGGCUAACUCCGUGCCAGCCGCCGCCGUAA
rnacentral:rRNA from 1 species